rnacentral:pre_miRNA from 1 species
GCGGGACACCAGAGGGCCAUAGAGCAAAUUACUUCUAGCUGAGUGCUAAAUGAUCCCCUGGUGCCCUGAAA